rnacentral:tRNA from 6 species
GGCACUAUGGUCUAAUGCGGAAAGACGGCGGUUACUAAAAUUUCUAGUUAAACCCGACGACGUAGGUUCGAUUCCUGCUGGUGCCACCA